rnacentral:rRNA from 1 species
AGCAGCCGCGGUAAUUCCAGCUCCAAUAGCGUAUAUUAAAGUUGUUGCAGUUAAAAAGCUCGUAGUUGAAUUUCGGGAUCAAUACGUCGGUCGUGCCUCCGGUAUGUACUGGUGUUAUUGAUUUCUCCCUUCUGAUGAACCAUGAUGUCAUUAAUUUGAUGUUGUGGGGAGUCAGGACUGUUACUUUGAAAAAAUUAGAGUGUUUAAAGCAGGCUUACGCUUGAAUACAUUAGCAUGGAAUAAUGAAAUAGGACGUUCGAUCCUAUUUUGUUGGUUUCUAGGAUCAACGUAAUGAUUAAUAGGGAUAGUUGGGGGCAUUAGUAUUCAAUUGUCAGAGGUGAAAUUCUUGGAUUUAUUGAAGACUAACUACUGCGAAAGCAUUUGCCAAGGAUGUUUUCAUUAACCAAGAACGAAAGUUAGGGGAUCGAAGACGAUCAGAUACCGUCGUAGUCUUAACCAUAAACUAUGCCGACUAGGGAUCGGAUGAUGUUAAUUUUUUAAU